rnacentral:rRNA from 1 species
AGUGAACGCUGGCGGUAGGCCUAACACAUGCAAGUCGAACGGCAGCACAGUAAGAGCUUGCUCUUACGGGUGGCGAGUGGCGGACGGGUGAGGAAUACAUCGGAAUCUACUUUUUCGUGGGGGAUAACGUAGGGAAACUUACGCUAAUACCGCAUACGACCUACGGGUGAAAGCAGGGGAUCUUCGGACCUUGCGCGAUUGAAUGAGCCGAUGUCGGAUUAGCUAGUUGGCGGGGUAAAGGCCCACCAAGGCGACGAUCCGUAGCUGGUCUGAGAGGAUGAUCAGCCACACUAGAACUGAGACACGGUCCAGACUCCGACGGGAGGCAGCAGUGGGGAAUAUUGGACAAUGGGCGCAAGCCUGAUCCAGCCAUACCGCGUGGGUGAAGAAGGCCUUCGGGUUGUAAAGCCCUUUUGUUGGGAAAGAAAAGCAGCAGGUUAAUACCCCGCUGUUCUGACGGUACCCAAAGAAUAAGCACCGGCUAACUUCGUG